AGGUGAGGAGCCACAUUUUGCCCAUAGGAUAUAGUUUGCUGACACCUCAGUCAUAGAGCAAGGUUGAAGGAUGCUGUCCAAGAAACCACAUUGAAUUCAGUCAUCAUGUCUCCUUAGGAUUUUUUGACUGGGGCAGUUUCUCAGACUUCAUUAAGAUCUUGGCAGCUUUGAGGAAUACUGACCAGAGAUGAAGAACCAACCUAGGUGCCCUUCAACAGAUGAAUGGAUAAAGAUAAUGAGGUAUA